CAUGAAGUAUACCGAGAAGCGGAGGUGUACUUUUCCUUUGAUGACCUUAAUGAUUUAAAGAAUCAAAUUGUCGGGGGAAUUAUUGAAGACGGUAUUAUAAUAAAUGAAGUCGGACGCCGUAAAGGCAGUCUUUCAAUGAAUGGCUCUACCUGUUUACAAGUUGAUAAUAGUACAGCACAAAUAUCAUGUCUCAAUGGUCCUAUUGGUUGUGAUGGAAUAAGUUUUGCUUUGUUUUUUGCAUAUGCUUUACCUGCCAAAAGUAAUUCAGAUC